rnacentral:lncRNA from 1 species
AAAAACAGCAUGAAAAAGAGGAAAGAACUUGUGACACAGAAAUGACUAAACUUUAUGAAAUCUGUAGACAAAUGAGUCUGUUGUAACCGUCUUUGUCUUUUUUUUCUAAAUUGUUUGUGUUCUGAGUGAAGUUUGUGCGUUUUCUUUGUCUCAUGGGGUCAGAAGUGGCUGUUUGGUGAGCUUCCUUCUUUCUUCAAGAAGUCUGGUGGGUCUUUAGUUCCGUUUUCAGCUCUGAUCGCUGCAGAAAAAUGGAAGCCGUGGUCCGACUGUUGUUGCUGUUAGUAGGAGUCGCUCAUGGUGAGUCAACGUUUUGAAGUUUUAUCUGACAGAAACUGAGUUUCUCUAUCAAAAGUUUAAAAACUAGAGAACUCUUGUGUUUUGCUUUUUCCAGCUUAGAAUUAUUUGAACUACAAAUAUAUAACGUUUACAGCGACUGCUCAAGUGUGACAUAAACUUCAAAAGCCCAAACUCUGAAAAGUGCUUCUGUCACAAACAAGAGAACAUCAAUUUAGACUAAACAGUUGAAAACUAAAAUUCUAAAACAUUUGAAAGGAUUUGCUGUAUGUGUUUAUGUGGUCCCACAUUAAAUAGAAACAUUGAAACUAAUAACGAUACUUUUUCUUUUUUAGGUACAGAGACUUUCUGUGAUUCAAGACAGGAUAAAGCUCAGUGUUAUGGAGCUGAUGGUGGAACUGUGUUCAUACAGCUGAUCAACGAAGACACAGAGACAGACAAUAAAUUUGAAUGGAUGAAGGAUAACUUGGUAUUACUUAAAGGGAAAAAUAAUUCCAUACUAUCUAAUGAAUUGAAGAACAGAUCUUCAUUUUUUUUCAACAAUGGAACAUUUAUGAUUAAAAACCUGAGUAAAAGUGACAGCGGUGAAUAUAAACUCACACUGUAUAACUCAGAGGGAAAGAUUAUCAAAAGACGGUCUACAAGGUUAACUGUUAAUGAAAGGAAUCCGCUGUCCAUCCUGGCUGUUUUGCUUUCACUUCUGUUAAUCUGCUUAAUUGCUGGAACUGUUGUCAUCUGUGUCUUGAAAAAAAACAAAAACAAAGGCGAUCAUCAAAUAAUCUAUGCUGAAGUUCAGAUGAAGCAGCAGCAGAAGAAGAGGAGAAUCUCUGAAAAGUUAGAAGUGGAGGUGGAGUACAGUGAAGUGAAGUUUGCAGAGCGCCCUCGUCAGACUGAGCCUGCAAAUUAUGAAGCGUAAGCAGACCGUGGUUUCAGAUGAAGCUAAAGAAGAGUUCAAUAAAGGUCAAAUGAACAGCGGAGUCAGUGGAAAAGAUUCCCUGGACUCCUGUGUUGAUUUGUGGUUUUCUAUUGCAGGUUCAAAGGAGAUUCAAGUUGAGGAAGAUGAAGAGAUCCGCAGGAUCUUCCUAAAAGAUGCACUUUGAUCUGUUUGUAUGCAGCUGCCCUAAUUUUCUUUUCUUUUUCUCUAUAUUAAUGUGGGUUACAUUGAGAACAUGAGAAUGUGAGGAAACUGCUGUAAUUUCUUCCUUUGGCUUCUUUUUGUUCAGUGCUUGAUAUAUGGGCCUCGUAAUAAGACAUCUUAAAGGCUAUUUUAUGUUAUUUAAAGAUGGUAUUGUUUGUUUUUCAUAAUUUCUCAGUAACGCAAAGCAGCAAAUUGAUCAAAAGAACCACAUGAUCCACAAAAUGGAAAAACAAGCUAUGUUUGUGAUGAACAAAGGAAAACGUUUGGAAGCUUCUUGAUAACAGCUCACAUACUCACUAACAUAUGUUUUAAAGUUAUAGAAAAGAAACCCAGACUCUUAAACUUUAAAUGAUUGCAAAAAAGGAUAAUAUGAAUUUAAUAAAAACAUAAGGAGGACCAUCACUUCUUCUGUCUGCACAAAGUCAGUCAAAGUUGUUCCAAACUGAAACUUAAGUCAAACUCAGUUUGUUGUCUGUAAGAAAAAUCAACAAAACUGCAAAAAUUCACAUCCUGAAUGUGAUUCAGAGGCAACCAAUUAAAAAAUUGAAGCCAUCGUUCUACAGAUUCCUUAGUUUCAUAUUCUUUUGAUCAAGAAAGUAGACAGAAAAGCACACUACAGAUGUGAAACUGAAAAAAAAACUCAACUGUUUUCUACAGUAAGUUAUUUGUGUUUCAUUUGUUUGUUGACUUUCUGUUUUUUGCACUUGGAUGCUAAGCAUGUUCUUUCCAGUUGUGACAUGUACAAAGUCCCUGAUCUAUGAAUUAGCAUGUUGUUUAACCAACAUCAAGGAUGGACACGUCAACAGCCUUUCAGAAGCAGUUUGUCUUUGUAUUUUCUGUGCUGAUGGUUCAGUGCUGUGCAGCAUUUGUGAGGAUAGAAUUUUACGUUGUUUGAUUAUUUUGCUCUUUUUGAAAUUUCUCUUUUUUGCAGAUGCACAAUUUAUAAAGUAACAAAUAAAAAUUUGUAGAAAAAGAAAAA